rnacentral:rRNA from 1 species
UAUCCGGAAUUAUUGGGCGUAAAGGGCUCGUAGGCGGUUCGUCGCGUCCGGUGUGAAAGUCCAUCGCUUAACGGUGGAUCCGCGCCGGGUACGGGCGGGCUUGAGUGCGGUAGGGGAGACUGGAAUUCCCGGUGUAACGGUGGAAUGUGUAGAUAUCGGGAAGAACACCAAUGGCGAAGGCAGGUCUCUGGGCCGUUACUGACGCUGAGGAGCGAAAGCGUGGGGAGCGAACAGGAUUAGAUACCCUGGUAGUCCACGCCGUAAACGGUGGAUGCUGGAUGUGGGGCCCGUUCCACGGGUUCCGUGUCGGAGCUAACGCGUCACACAUCCCGCCGGCGGAGUACGGCGGCAAGC